rnacentral:rRNA from 1 species
GACAGAGGGUGCAAACGUUGUUCGGAAUUACUGGGCGUAAAGCGCGUGUAGGCGGCAAGGCAAGUCGGAUGUGAAAGCCCACGGCUCAACCGUGGAAGUGCACCCGAAACUGCCUAGCUAGAGUCUCGGAGAGGAAGGUGGAAUGCUUGGUGUAGAGGUGAAAUUCGUAGAUAUCAAGCGGAACACCAGUGGCGAAGGCGGCGCUCUGGGCUGCACCUGACGCUGAGAUGCGAAAGUGUGGGGAGCAAACGGG